rnacentral:lncRNA from 1 species
UUUCAUACGCCAGAACUGUUGGAAUAAAUACCGCACAGAAAUCUAAUUGUGAUUAAAAAUCUAACUAAUUUUAAGAUAAAUAUAAAAUUAGACUUACAAAUAAACGCUAAAAUCCAAAUAAAAUUAUUGAUUGAUCGAGAAGCGUGCGAGGUACUGCCCUAAGGCGUAUUCCCGUCCUUACGUGCGGGAUUAACCGAAAAUAAUACCCCAAGGUACGAACGGAAUUCCUCCUCCUGCGAGCACGAUCGUGAAGAAGAUUGACGGAGACUCUUUCAACACCCGAUGAUAAAAAGAAUCAAAUAAAUUAAAAU